GUGCUCUCAUCGGCAGCACAUAUACUAAAAUUGGAACAGUACAGAGAAAAUUAGCAUGGCCCCUGAGCAAGGAUGACACACAAAUUCGUGAAGCAUUCCAUGUUUUU
rnacentral:snRNA from 1 species